rnacentral:rRNA from 1 species
AUUGAACGCUGGCGGCAGGCCUUACACAUGCAAGUCGAACGGCAGCACGGGGGCAACCCUGGUGGCGAGUGGCGAACGGGUGAGUAACACAUCGGAACGUACCCUAUCGUGGGGGAUAACCAGUCGAAAGAUUGGCUAAUACCGCAUGCACUGGAGACAGCAAAGCGGGGGACCGGCAACGGCCUCGCGCGAUUGGAGCGGCCGAUGUCCGAUUAGCUAGUUGGUGGGGUAAAGGCUCACCAAGGCGACGAUCGGUAGCUGGUCUGAGAGGAUGAUCAGCCACACUGGGACUGAGACACGGCCCAGACUCCUACGGGAGGCAGCAGUGGGGAAUUUUGGACAAUGGGGGCAACCCUGAUCCAGCCAUGCCGCGUGAGUGAAGAAGG